GACGAACGCUGGCGGCGUGCCUAAUACAUGCAAGUCGAGCGAACCAAUUGAAAGCCUAGCUUUCAUGAGGUUAGCGGCGGACGGGUGAGUAACACGUGGGUAACCUGCCCUAUAGACUGGGAUAACUCGCGGAAACGCGUGCUAAUACCGGAUAAYACAUCAAAGUGCAUGCUUUGAUGUUGAAAGAUGGUUCUGCUAUCACUAUAGGAUGGGCCCGCGGCGCAUUAGCUUGUUGGUGGGGUAACGGCCUACCAAGGCGACGAUGCGUAGCCGWCCUGAGAGGGUGMUCKGCCACACUGGGACUGAGACACGGCCCAGACUCCUACGGGAGGCAGCAGUAGGGAAUCUUCCACAAUGGGCGAAAGCCUGAUGGAGCAACGCCGCGUGAGCGAAGAAGGUCUUCGGAUCGUAAAGCUCUGUUGUAAGGGAAGA
rnacentral:rRNA from 1 species